CUUUGCAGGGACAUGGAUGAAGGUGGAAACCAUCAUCCUCAACAAACUAACACAGGAACAGAAAACCAAACACCACGUGCUCUGCCAAGCUGUUCUAGCAUCUGCCUGCUGCCUGCUCUCUCUUCACCUCCCACUACCGCACCUCUUUAAACUUACAUGCACGUCAGACUAUUAUUCAUUUAAGAAUAAAAAAUUGCAGUAAAAGAAAGUAUGACUUUGUGACUUGGAGACAUAAACAGCAGCCCAAUGUUGAGCACAUAUAAGGAUGCCCACAUACAUGCCUGGUUUUGUCCCUUCCAACUCAGUCCCAAGGCACUGUUUCCUUAUAAAAACUUGUACUCAGAUUAUUAAAAAUGCCAGGCUUGGAAUGAUUCAAACUUUAGCAAGUACUAAAGAUUCUAGAAUGACAAGAAAAUGUCUUGGCAUUAUGAAAUAAUGUUAUGUUUAUGGCAUAAUUUAAUUAUAAGUACUAGUAAACAGAUGAGGUACUAGUAAAUGGAUGAGAAAAGUGUUUGAAGAGGAGGUUUGCCACCGUCACCCAGGCCUUUGACAAUAUGACUUCUAAACUCAUUUUCAAACAAGAGUAAACUUGGAGUGGAUGACCUGAAUUAAGGUCAUGGGGAGCCCAAUCAAGAUAUAGGGUGGUCUAAGAGACAAUAUGGAGUACAAAACCAGAAAUACAGUCUGAGUAUUGUAUUAAUGUGAAGAAGCUAGAUACGGAGACAGAAUCUAGGUAUAAGGAAUGGGACAGAAAUUGGUCAUAGAAGAUUAGUGCAAGAGGGUUCAUGAUGGGAGGGAAGAAGGGGAAUAGGAAAUGUAUCCUGAAGCCCUGCA
rnacentral:lncRNA from 1 species